rnacentral:lncRNA from 1 species
UGUUCCCCACCCGGCCUAUCAUGCCGGGUUGAUCCACUUGCCGGCACAGAAUGAGGUUUCCUUCCAGGCUCACAUCCACACCAAAGGAUCCCAAGCAUGUCAGAUGUGGCUCCCCAUACUUUACUUUCCCCUCAAUGCUUAUGCUUCCACUCUCCGAAACAGAACUUGCAAAUUUAGACUCCACAUUGUAUAUUUGCACCUGGAUUGAAUCAACAGGAAACCCAGGAGAUGAAUCUACAGCUACCCUUUCCUCGCUUAUGCGCAGGCCUUUCUGCUUCGCGACGAAAUCUGCAUUGACUAGAUUGAUGAAGGAGGCGGAUAUCGGUUCAAUGAUGCCCUUAGUGAUCAUGGCCCUGAGAAGUCUGGUGUCCAAGUCAUCGGGGUCCCGAG